CCUACGGGAGUCUGCAGUGGGGAAUAUUGCGCAAUGGGCGAAAGCCUGACGCAGCGACGCCGCGUGAGGGAUGAAGGUCUUCUGAUCGUAAACCUCUGUCAGCAGGGAAGAACGGUCACUGUGCUAAUCAGCAGUGAAUUGACGGUACCUGCAAAGGAAGCACCGGCUAACUCCGUUCCAGCAGACGCGGUAAUACGGAGGGUUCGAGCGUUAAUUGGAAUUACUGGGCGUAAAGCGAUCGUAGGCGGUAUGUCAAGUCAAGGGUGAAAUCCCCGCGCUCAACGUGGGAACUGCCUUUGAAACUGGCAAACUGGAGUGUGUGAGAGGAUAGUGGAAUUCCAGGUGUAGGGGUGAAAUCCGUAGAUAUCUGGAGGAACAUCAGUGGCGAAGGCGACUAUCUGGCACAUAACUGACGCUGAGGAGCGAAAGCGUGGGUAGCAAACAGGAUUAGAUACCCCUGUAGUC
rnacentral:rRNA from 1 species